GAUGAACGCUGGCGGCGUGCCUAAUACAUGCAAGUCGAGCGAACAGACAAGGAGCUUGCUCCCUUGACGUUAGCGGCGGACGGGCGAGUAACACGUGGGUAACCUACCUAUCAGACUGGAUAACUUCGGGAAACCGGAGCUAAUACUGGAUAAUAUUUCGAACCGCAUGGUUCGAUAGUGAAAGAUGGUUCUGCUAUCACUUAUAGAUGGACCAGGGCCGUAUUAGCUAGUUGGUAAGGUAACGGCUUACCAAGGCGACGAUACGUAGCCGACCUGAGAGGGUGAUCGGCCAAACUGGAACUGAGACACGGUCCAGAAUCCUACGGGAGGCAGCAGUAGGGAAUCUUCCGCAAUGGGCGAAAGCCUGACGGAGCAACGCCGCGUGAGUGAUGAAGGUCUUCGGAUCGUAAAACUCUGUUAUUAGGGAAGAACAUACGUGUAAGUAACUAUGCACGUCUUGACGGUACCUAAUCAGAAAGCCACGGCUAACUACGUGCCAGCCGCCGCCGUAA
rnacentral:rRNA from 1 species